rnacentral:rRNA from 1 species
UACGAAGGGAGCUAGCGUUGUUCGGAAUCACUGGGCGUAAAGCGCACGUAGGCGGAUGUGUCAGUCAGGGGUGAAAUCCCGGAGCUCAACUUCGGAACUGCCUUUGAUACAGCACAUCUGGAGUCCGGAAGAGGUGGGUGGAAUUCCUAGUGUAGAGGUGAAAUUCGUAGAUAUUAGGAAGAACACCAGUGGCGAAGGCGGCUCACUGGCCCGGUACUGACGCUCAGGCACGAAAGCGUGGGGAGCAAACAGG